rnacentral:rRNA from 1 species
CACUCCUGCGGGAGGCAGCAGUGGGGAAUUUUGGACAAUGGGCGAAAGCCUGAUCCAGCAAUGCCGCGUGCAGGAUGAAGGCCUUCGGGUUGUAAACUGCUUUUGUACGGAACGAAAAAGCUCCUUCUAAUACAGGGGGCCCAUGACGGUACCGUAAGAAUAAGCACCGGCUAACUACGUGCCAGCAGCCGCGGUAAUACGUAGGGUGCGAGCGUUAAUCGGAAUUACGGGGCGUAAAGCGUGCGCAGGCGGUUAUGUAAGACAGAUGUGAAAUCCCCGGGCUCAACCUGGGAACUGCAUUUGUGACUGCAUGGCUAGAGUACGGUAGAGGGGGAUGGAAUUCCGCGUGUAGCAGUGAAAUGCGUAGAUAUGCGGAGGAACACCGAUGGCGAAGGCAAUCCCCUGGACCUGUACUGACGCUCAUGCACGAAAGCGUGGGGAGCAAACAGGAUUAGAUACCCCAGUAGUCCCAUGA